rnacentral:misc_RNA from 1 species
AAGUCGUAACAAGGUUUCCGUAGGUGAACCUGCGGAAGGAUCAUUAACACGUAUCCAACGUUAAACCCCCCGUGAACCUUCAGUGCGCUCGCACUUUCUUAGAAAAGGUAGCAAUCCCUGGUAAAUCAUUAGACUGUGCUUGAGCGUGAGGCAAGUGGCCUCUGAAAGUGUCACCAGCUCUGUACGAAUGGCGCAGUCACGAUCGCUAGAGGCCGACACGGCCGGCGACCGGGUCACUGGGCGCGAGCCCCCCUCGUCACCUUUGCAUGAAAACGGGCCUGCGCUUAAUUGUGCGGCCACCAAACUCGAACAACUGUUAACAAUGGAUAUCUUGGUUCUC